rnacentral:snoRNA from 1 species
CCUCUCGGUGAUGAGGAGCUCUCGGCAUACAUCAUGACUGGGCUUGAUGUGGAGUACAAUCCCCUGGUGACUUCUCUGAUGACCAGGGUCGAACCCAUCAGCUACAGUGAGCUCUUGGCGCAAUUCUCAGCUUUGAGA